UUCCAGCUCCAAUAGCGUAUAUUAAAGUUGUUGCAGUUAAAAAGCUCGUAGUUGAAUUUCGGGGUUAGUAGGCUGGUCGUGCCACUGGUAUGUACUGGUCUUACUGACUUCUCCUUUCUGAAGAACUGUAAUGCCGUUAAUUUGGUGUUGCAGGGAAUCAGGACUGUUACUUUGAAAAAAUUAGAGUGUUUAAAGCAGGCUAACGCUUGAAUACAUUAGCAUGGAAUAAUGAAAUAGGACGUUCGAUCUUAUUUUGUUGGUUUCUAGGAUUGACGUAAUGAUUAAUAGGGAUAGUUGGGGGCAUUAGUAUUCAAUUGUCAGAGGUGAAAUUCUUGGAUUUAUUGAAGACUAACUACUGCGAAAGCAUUUGCCAAGGAUGUUUUCAUUAAUCAAGAACGAAAGUUAGGGGAUCGAAGACGAUCAGAUACCGUCGUAGUCUUAACCAUAAACUAUGCCGACUAGGGAUCGG
rnacentral:rRNA from 1 species